GAAGGGGAGAGAUCUGAUUGUAUUCUCUAUGCCUUGAUAAUACAGUUAGUGCCGAUAAGACCUUGAGACAAUCUUGCCCUUCAGAAAAUGAGUGUUUGUGGUGGGUGUGGGUGAGCCAGAGGAGCCCUGUGAUGCAAUGUGGCUAAGAUCAUCUCUCUAGCCCAUUUCCUUUAGAGUUUACUGAACCUAUCCUUUCCCCCCACAAGAUGCUCAUUUCUAGUUUUAUUUUUUAUAACGUUAAUGUACUUUGCUUUUCCCAUACAUUAACUACCUUCAUAAAAUGUUGAUAAAGUUGUUCCCCUUGCCCCACCAGCAGACUGACAGCUGUAUAACUCUCAUCUUAUGCUUGCCCAGUGGUACCAUUUGUGCAACGUAUCUUCUGGAAGUCUCUCAUUCUAUUUGAAGAGACCAGCUGUAAAGGCAAGAUGGUAAAUCCAUUUUCGUGCCAGUUCAUCUUUGGCUUCUCUCCAGAUUUCUAAUAUUUAGGGCUUGAUUUUGCUGGCUGCCUUCUUCGUGGAUGCACAGAGCUCCCAUUGACUUCAUUAUGAUAAGCAGAGUGAUGAUAAACUCAAAUGGUAAACAGAAGGGUUCUUCACUUCAAUGGAAAUUCUCUGCGUGUGAAGAGAUAUUGUCCAGUAAAAAAAUCAUCCAAUUUCAUAUUAAAUAAAUAAACACAAUGGUAUCUGGAAUGACAACUUGGAGUCAUUUGACAUAUGUCUAAGAUAGCAUGACAACCAGAGAUUCCACUCUCAUCAUUACGAAAUUACUGUCUGAUAAACAGACUUGAUUUCUUCACUCCUCUUAAAGAAGAGUCCUAGAUGCUCCAUCCUCCUGCUGUCAUGAAUCUUUCUGAAGAUGUGCAUAAAUAUACUGCUUUUCUUGUAAAGAUGGGCCCACCAAUAAGGCCCAUCAAAGCAAGUGAACUAUAAUAUUUUUAAUAUUUGAUAUUUUUCAUUGGUUCAAAUUUGCAUGGCCAACAAUCAAUCUGGUGUUUAGUUUCCUCCUGAGUUUCCACUGUUGCAAACUGACACAGGGAGGAUGGUGGUGGUGCUGGGUUAAGAAUUUAAGGUGCUAACUGACUAAUGUAGGCAAGCAUAAUUAAUCAUGUCAGAAAUCUUUGCAUGCAGUUUAAUUGGUUUGCAUUAUCUAUAAGAUAGUGUUUUCAUAAAAUAACAAAAUGGUUUCUGCUAAAACUGCUAAUUUAUUGCCUUCAAAAUAAGAGGCACCCAAAUGGGAAUCCAGAAGGAGUAAAACCCCCAUGCUCCUCAAAAUGAGAGCAUUUCAGAUAAAAUAGUGCUGUGUGUUUUUUUUUCAUAUGAAGACUGUUGAUUAAUAAACUUAGCUUACCUUUGGUGGCAUAAGCAAAAUGUUUCCAUUAAUUCUAUUUGUUGAAAUGAAUUUGUUUUUGGUAAAGCUUUUUGGGUUAAGUUUUUUUUUUUCCCAAUUGAGAGAAAAA
rnacentral:lncRNA from 1 species